UAAUACGGAGGGUGCAAGCGUUAUCCGGAAUCACUGGGUUUAAAGGGUGCGUAGGCGGCGUUAUAAGUCAGGAGUGAAAUUCCACGGCUCAACUGUAGGAACUGCUUUUGAUACUGUAAUGCUUGAACCAAGAUGAGGUAGGCGGAAUGUGACAUGUAGCGGUGAAAUGCAUAGAUAUGUCAUAGAACACCAAUUGCGAAGGCAGCUUACUAGACUUGAGUUGACGCUGAGGCACGAAAGCGUGGGGAGCAAACAGG
rnacentral:rRNA from 1 species